rnacentral:rRNA from 1 species
UGGGGAAUUUUGGACAAUGGGGGCAACCCUGAUCCAGCCAUGCCGCGUGCGGGAAGAAGGCCUUCGGGUUGUAAACCGCUUUCGGCCGGAACGAAAUCGCCGGGGAGAACAUCUCCGGUGGAUGACGGUACCGGAAGAAGAAGCACCGGCUAACUACGUGCCAGCAGCCGCGGUAAUACGUAGGGUGCGAGCGUUAAUCGGAAUUACUGGGCGUAAAGCGUGCGCAGGUGGUUCGCUAAGACAGAUGUGAAAUCCCCGGGCUCAACCUGGGAACUGCGUUUGUGACUGGCGGGCUAGAGUGCGGAAGAGGGAGGUGGAAUUCCACGUGUAGCAGUGAAAUGCGUAGAGAUGUGGAGGAACACCGAUGGCGAAGGCAGCCUCCUGGUCUAGCACUGACGCUCAUGCACGAAAGCGUGGGGAGCAAACAGG